CACACACACACACACACACAGUGCUCUGCCACCUGCUUUGAGGAGGCUCCACCCUCACCAGCCCCUCCCUCCACUGCACUUAAAACAGCUAGCAUCACUUUGGGAGAAGAAACCUCAGCUGGGUUUUGUGCAGAUUGGACAGGGAGGAGACACAGAAGGUGUCUGUCUGGUGGAGGAGAAGGUGACUGUCCCAGUGGAGGUCUGGACUCCUCCAGGGGCAAGAUCAGGCUUGGUUGUGGGGACAUCACAGGGAGGGAGCUGAGGGCACUGAGGCCUGAGGAACUCCCCAGCAGGAGGGGAAGAGAAAGAGUCCUCACUCACUUUUCCUCACACCUGUCCCACCUCACCAGGCAUUGGCUUCUGCAACUCUGAGCAACCAUGGGCUACCCUGAGGGUGACCCUGUUGAAGAGUUAAGGACUCAAAUGCAUGAGGUUACAGACAUGAUUAUUAAUACACUCCAAAGUGAACCUUGGGGACACGAACAGCAGGUCCAGGCAGGCCUAGAACAAUUUGAGGCGUGGGUCUCCGUGUUGCUCAUCGAUCCUGCUGGUGUGGAGGGACUGCCUGAGAGCUCGGGAAGUGAGCACUCGGGCUGGUACCGCUUCCUGCCCUCAACUCAAGACAUCCAUGGAACCUGAGUGUGCCUGGUGCCAGGCCCAGAAUCCACUCUGAAACAGCCAGAUACCACCAAGGACUUGACUCCCUUAACUCCUGAAAUGAGGCGGAAGUUGGGUGAAAGGCAAAAGGAAUUACUUGGAUUUGAAAGGCAGUGUGAAUUACCUGAAACACAGGAGGAGUUACUUUCCAGAUCACAGAGCCCUGCUGGCCCCUCUGGGGACCAUGAGAGCUCUGGGAGCCAGGAUCACAAGAAGAGCCUUUGCGCCUGGGUACGGAGAAAGAUAAAGGAGAUCCUAAGGAGAACGCUAAGAGUGUGGCUAAAAAUAGUGGCCUGGUUAAAGGAGGUGACUGUGGUGAUCCAGACCUUGAAGAGAGCAGUGAAGGCUGUCUACAGCUUUCUAGCCGAUAUGGUACUCUGGCUCCCAGGAAUCUAGUGCCAGCCAGGAGCCUCCAGCUAUACCCAGGAGCCCUUGCAUUCCCACAGCGCUGGCCUUUGCCCCCUGCUAACUAUUGAUGACCCACCCUGGACAGCCCCGCUCAGUCCCUCCCUGCGCUGCCCAAGCCCUCCCGCCUGCCUGGCUUUCCUUCUCCAAGUCUCACUGGUCGCUCUGGUCCCAGGACCCAGCUCACAGCAGGUCUUAAUAAAAAUUGGUUGAAGCUGAGGAGUGGCUGUCAGAUUCUUCUCUGACAAAAGGGGUGGA